rnacentral:lncRNA from 1 species
AUCAUGUUAAAUCAAUGAAAUCCUCUCUCUAAUCUCUUCACGCGUGUCCACACGCGCUAUUUCCAUUCUUAAAUAUUCAGACAAGAGACAAAAGAAAAAGAAACUAGUGGAUCUAAUUAACUCCCUUCCUCUUAUAUCCUCUCUCUCUCUCAAAGAUUCCUUUCCUCUUCUCUUCCAUGCGUUAUCUCCUCUGAUUCUCUCAUUCAUUCAUGGCCGUUAUCCACCGUUCAGAUCCGCUCUCUCGGAUCCACCCGGAACCGCUACACCAACCCGAUUUCUUCGACCACCUCCCCGACUCUAUCCUCCUCCUCGUCUUCAACCGCAUCGGCGACGUCAAAGCCCUCGGCCGAUGCGGCGUCGUUUCCAAGAGAUUCCACUCCCUCGUCCCCCAAGUCGAGAACGUCGUCGUCCGCGUCGACUGCGUCAUCUCCGACGACGACGAUCCCUCCUCCCUCUCCCCCGACAAGCCUCGCUCCUCCGCCUCCCCCUUCUCCGCCAUCUUCCGCCUCAUCUUCAAGCCUUUACACGCUUUGACGCAGCUCCUCGCCACUAAACGCUCAUCCUCAUCACCGUCAUCACCGUCUCCUUCGUCCUCGUCGUUGUCUAUCACCGGAGGAGGAGAAGACGGAGAGAUCGAGCAAGGCGGCGUGACUCACCACUCCCCGACGCAGGUCCUCAAAAACUUCAACGAGAUUCGUCUCCUCCGCAUCGAGCUUCCCGCCGGCGAGCUAGGCAUAGACGACGGCGUUUUGCUGAAAUGGCGUGCGGAGGUAAAGUGUUGUUUUAAUAAUAUUGUUUUUUGUUUGUGUGUUUUGUUAUUCAGUCUCCUGAUGAUAUGAAGUCUAUGGCAGAUGAAGCUAUUCUUCUUCUGCAAGAGAAGAUCAGUGACGAUAUUGAUGAGGAGACUGUUAAGAUGCAACUUCUUGUUCCUUCCAAGGUUAUUGGAUGCGUUAUAGGUAAAAGCGGCUCGGUCAUAAACCAAAUCAGGAAAAGAACCAACGCCAAUAUCCGUAUCUCCAAAGGGAAUAACGAUGAUCUUGUUGAGGUUACUAUAGUCCCUAAUCAAAUUUCAAAUCUUUUCUCCUUCCUUUGCUUUAUAUUCAACUUCGAAAUCUCUUGUAAUCAUUAGGUAUCUGGUGAAGUCAGCAGUGUGAGAGAUGCUCUCAUUCAGAUUGUACUAAGACUCCGAGAGGAUGUUUUGGGCGAUAGAGGCAGUGUCUCUGCUAGGAAUCCUCCUGCUGCAAGAUCUGAUCAUUCCGGUUUUACACUUGCUCCUUUUGUAUCUUCUGUUCCAGAAUAUGCUUCUGUAGAUUUUGAUCAGAGGCGAGAGACAGGGGAAAGCAGCUUGGGAAUGGUUUCUUCAGACAGAUUCUAUGGCUAUGAAAGUAGUUUCCCGGUAAGUUCACAUAGUAGUUCUUCUGAUUCUCUUGGUGACAGAGGUCUUAGUUUUCUUUUAUUUUUUGCAUAAACAGGCAAGAGAUCAUGGUUUGGUAUCAGUCGGUCCAUACUCAUAUGGAGGGUAAGUUUUGCAAACUACAGCAAAGAACUUGGCUUCUUCUUUAUCACUUUGUUUCAAAUGGUUUAAAACUUUUUUUUUUAUCUAUAGAUUGUAUCAGUCUUCUGCUUUGGAGAUUCUUGUCCCGGCGAGUGCAGUGAGUAAAGUUAUUGGCAAAGGAGGAGGCAAUUUGGAGAACAUAAGAAGGGUUUGUUUUCUGAAAUCUUUAUGAUCAUUACUUCGGUUUGUUCCUUAGAUCUUUUUUUUGUCAUUUGGUAAUUGCAUCUCUCUGUCUUUCAGAUAUCAGGAGCUAUGGUAGAAGUUUCGGAUUCCAAAACUUCUCACGGUGAUCGCAUUGCUCUCGUAUCAGGCACACCUGAACAGAUGCGUAGUGCAGAGAACUUGUUCCAAGCUUUUAUUAUGUCCACUUGAAACAGUCUCUUAACUCUCUAGCUUUGUGGUGAGUUCUUUCUCACCUCGGUUUACUGUAACUGUAGGAGAAGUUGUUUAAUUAAUAACAACCCGGAAUAAAAUGAUAUUCCGGUUUAGCGAUCAUGUGUCUAUGAGCCGUGUACCGUAGCGUUGCUUGUUAUUUAAAUUCUUGGAAAUUACAUGCAGAAGACCCUCUAUUGUUUAUUAUAGUUUACUUAUUUUCCCUAUAGUUUUUAUUUUAUUUUCACAACCCCGUACCUUUCAGAAACUAAUUAAAAUGCAGCUAUGCAAGUACGGAAAUUCUUGAACGGGCCUUGUUGUAAUCUAAAUAUAACGAUGUAUCAUUUCCUACCAUACAUGUAAAUGAAAAUACUCGGUACUGUAUUUGACACCUAUAUUAUAUAACUCUUCUGUAUAUUUUGUUAUGUUACGUAACAGUUUGUGUUCUGCACAUGUACACACGGAUGAUUAACAAACACUGACAUAUGAUUGGUUGGAUUUCUCAUUUAUCAUAUAUAAACUUUGUACGAUCAUAACAAAAAUAGAAAAUAAUACUGAGAAAUAAUAGGAGAUUGAUGAUCUGGAAAUCGUGUUACAAAUCUAUUUAGCUGGAUGUUAUUUAUUUAUUUUCUUAAAUUAUGAUGCAAGGAUAUUAUAUAAGAAGGAAGGAUCUUAGAUGUUUCAUGAAUUUUCAUUUCUUGAAUCUGUAUUUCCGAGUUAUGUAACUUAUGUUGCUGCUUUUGCAUUUAAUAGUCACAUGUUUCUCAGUAUUCCAUUAUUUUGCACCAAUCCAUACCUGUAAUUUUAUUUUUUUUGCUAAAUUGUAAAUAUCAUUUCAGAAAGAGAAAAAAACAAAAAUAGCACUAAAUCAAGUUUUUGUUUCCAAACUAGCAUUCAAGGUCAAAAGUCACAAAAAUAACACUUAAUGUUUUAUCAAAAGUCACAAACUUAGGGUUUAGAGUUAAAAGGUGGGGUUUAGGAUUUAGGGUUUAGGGUUUAGAGUUUAGAGUUUAGGGUUUAGGGUUUAGAUUUUAGGGUUUAGGGUUUAGGGUUUACAGUUUCGGGUUUAGGGUUUAGAGUUUAGGGUUUAGGGUUUAGGGUUUAGGGUUUAGAGUUUAGGGUUUAGGGUUUAGAGUUGAGAAAUGAGGUUUUGGGGAUAAGAUUUCAAAUUUUGAAAAAUAAAAAAAUUAAAAUUUUCAAAAGAUAAACUUAGAAAAGUGGUAUUUUGGUCAUUUUAGUUUUUGAAUGCUAUUUUUGUGAUAUAAACUUAGAAAGGUGCUAUUUUGGAGAUUUGCCCUUUCAGAAAUGAACUGUUGAGAUUUACAAGAUAUGAUGAACAAAAUGUAAAUCCUUUAAAACAUCCUUUAAUCCAUACCUAUAUUUUAUUGUAAUUUUCUCUAUAUAAUUCACACAAAUAUUUUACCUUAAAAAAAGCUUUCGUUUAUACACUUUUUAAAAAAAACCACUGAUUUCUUGUGGGCAUACUUUUUUUUGUGUGGACAUACUUCAAGUCUUUACUAUCUUUUAUCGAAUCUGGAUUCCAGGAAAAAAAAAGAAAAGUUACAACGUGAAUUGUGUAAUGUACUUUGGUGAACUUGUACGGACGGGCAAUGCUGCAUUUUCACGUCGACGAUAAAAGUGAAAACGGCGGGGCGUGCAAAGUAAGAAUGGACACAUGACACGACGUGCAUGUGACACCAAUAUCUGCGGCUUUUGUUACUUCCCUGCUAAGUCUCUCCCCUUAUUGAUUCAGAUCUAAAUCAAUGCUCUGUACUGUGCCAUUUCAGAUUCCACACAUGACUUGUCUAAAUGCAUUUUACAUAUCUCACUUUCUCUCUUCUUUAUUUGGUUUCCAAUUAUUUAUCACAAAUCAUAUUGUUGAUACUAUUAUAGUAACAAACACUGGGAAAUUCCAUGAAGACGGGAAGAUAUGCAAUUCUAAAUGUUUGUUUGAGGUACUAAAUUGUUUUACUAAUACAUAUAUAAUAAUCAAAUUGAAUCUGAAUUUCCAUUUUAACACCUAUUAAAACUGAAUUGUAUAAUUUAUUAUUAAAAAAAGAAAGAAAAGGAAGAAUUUGCCUACGAGUAGACUAUAGAGCACUAGGCAAAUCCAAUUCAUUCUCACCAAAUGACCUAACGACUUAUCAUGUGGUACAGCUAAGUCGGAAAUCUUAUGAUAAUGCAACUCCAUAUCAUGCCAUGAAUAAUCUUUGUAUAAAAUAACUAUAUAACUGUAUCUUCUCAUCUAUUCUUAUUUGAUUAUUGAACACCCACGAAGCAUUACAAUUAUUUGGGUUAUUAUACCGGUAGAGAAUAAAUAAUCACACAAUAUAAAAACUAAGAAUGCGACCAAGAAUUGGAGUACGAUGGUUGUAUUAAUGCUGUAUUAAUGCAAUCGUUUGUUGUGAUACUAUCAAAAUUCAAAUCUGUAUAAUGCAUGUUAUUUGGUCUAAGGAUAUUUUGUAGGCUCAGUUAGACUAUGCAUGGUGAAAAUGGUGGAUUACCAUUUGAAGCUUUCACACAAUUUAAUGUUUUCAAUUGUUUGAUCAUAGUCUGCAAACAUAAUUAUUUGUGUACUAUAUAGCCCAUUUAUCAUAAUGUAAGUUUAAAUUAAAAUAUAUGAAUUGUAGAAAAUGUUCUUAUUACCCAUAUCAUUUGAUAAAAUAUAAACUAGCAAAAAUUUCUUACACUGGUUAUAUUAUUGAAAAUUUAUUUUAUAAAAGUGUAUUUAUGUUUAUAUUGAAUUAGGUGUCAACCUAUCUCAACUAUUGAUUUUUUUGCAUUUUUAUAUAAUUAUUUGCUUAAAAUAAUUUAUUGAAAAAGGAUAUUCUAAAAUAUUUUAAUAUAACUUGUUUAAAAUGUCUAAUAGCCAUAUAUAUAUAUAUAUAUAACAUAGAUUAUAAUUUUAAGAAAUUAAAAAUAUUUUUUAAGAAAUUAUCCAAAUAUGUAUCUUAAUUAAAUUUUAUUAAAAACGAUAGUGAUUUUAGCUAAUCAAAUGCCAACCCCAUUUUAUUAUUUGAACUUUCUUAAAUUUCAUCGCAAAUCAGGAUGAUAUUUUUCUAUAUCCGAAAUUCAACACACCUACACCUAACUUGAAUUCUGUCACUACCCUUCUUGUAUUUAGUUGAUUAUAAUUAGUUAUCUCAAUCAUGUUAAAUCAAUGAAAUCCUCUCUCUAAUCUCUUCACGCGUGUCCACACGCGCUAUUUCCAUUCUUAAAUAUUCAGACAAGAGACAAAAGAAAAAGAAACUAGUGGAUCUAAUUAACUCCCUUCCUCUUAUAUCCUCUCUCUCUCUCAAAGAUUCCUUUCCUCUUCUCUUCCAUGCGUUAUCUCCUCUGAUUCUCUCAUUCAUUCAUGGCCGUUAUCCACCGUUCAGAUCCGCUCUCUCGGAUCCACCCGGAACCGCUACACCAACCCGAUUUCUUCGACCACCUCCCCGACUCUAUCCUCCUCCUCGUCUUCAACCGCAUCGGCGACGUCAAAGCCCUCGGCCGAUGCGGCGUCGUUUCCAAGAGAUUCCACUCCCUCGUCCCCCAAGUCGAGAACGUCGUCGUCCGCGUCGACUGCGUCAUCUCCGAC